AUUGAACGCUGGCAGCAGGCCUAACACAUGCAAGUCGAACGGUAGCACAGAGAGCUUGCUCUCGGGUGACGAGUGGCGGACGGGUGAGUAAUGUCUGGGAAACUGCCCGAUGGAGGGGGAUAACUACUGGAAACGGUAGCUAAUACCGCAUAACGUCGCAAGACCAAAGUGGGGGACCUUCGGGCCUCACACCAUCGGAUGUGCCCAGAUGGGAUUAGCUAGUAGGUGGGGUAAUGGCUCACCUAGGCGACGAUCCCUAGCUGGUCUGAGAGGAUGACCAGCCACACUGGAACUGAGACACGGUCCAGACUCCUACGGGAGGCAGCAGUGGGGAAUAUUGCACAAUGGGCGCAAGCCUGAUGCAGCCAUGCCGCGUGUAUGAAGAAGGCCUUCGGGUUGUAAAGUACUUUCAGCGGGGAGGAAGGCGGUGAAGUUAAUAACUUCACCGAUUGACGUUACCCGCAGAAGAAGCACCGGCUAACUCCGUGCCAGCAGCCGCCGUAA
rnacentral:rRNA from 1 species